rnacentral:lncRNA from 1 species
CGAAUUUAAUGCCGGAGAAGAUAUAUGGGAGAAGAUAUACCGGAAGAAAUGCAGCCGAAGGAAUCUGUGUCAGCCCAAGAAACACAGCCCAUUGUCAGCCGGAAUUAAUGCCGGAUACUACAAUAUACUAUACUAUUAUUUGCACAAACGUCGCCAUAUUGCUACCGUCAAAAUCGUCGUCAACCUUAAGUUUUGUCGAAUGCCCUGAAGAAAAAAGCUUCUGCUAUCUCACGACCAGAGAUUAAGCGACCAUCUAGAGAUGGGGUGCAAAAGUUAGUGCACAUACAUAUAUCCCUGCUAGCACCGAUUUUAUUCACGGGGAGGGCAAAAAUCCCGCUAGCAGAGAUAUUAGGAAAGAUAAUGCAUACUCACUUUCAAGACAAAAAAGUUCUUGUGGUAUUAUCGAAAUAUAAUACCCGUCAGGGCAAGACGGACAAAACGCCCUAGCGCGAAAAAGACGCGCGUAAAGAUGAAAACUUUGUAUUGCAUUUAUUGCGGUCAAAGCUUUUUUCUUCCACACGCAUUUCCCAAGCGCGGUACGCCAAAACAAGCUUCACAAAUUGUGAACCAGGUUCCAUGCGCACGCCUAAUCUGCGAGGCAGCGUCGUAUUUCAUUUUUUCAUUAUCCUCUUUUUUAUUUUUUUUAAUUUUUUUUAUUUUUUUUUUAGUUGUGCGUCGGUCUCCAGUACAAAUUUUUGCAAAUUGCGAAUAUUUGCCUGAAAACUUCGUUUAUUUAUCAGUCUUUAAGACGAUAUACGAAUCCAUACGAAUUCGUGGAGAACUAACUAUCAUUAAUUGAAUAAAGCGCGAAGACCUUAUUAGCAUAUGCAGCGCACAACCAAGUUCACGAAUACCAUGUUCCCGCGUAGAAAUUUGAUGAAGUGUUUCACAAUGGACAAAGUAUUCAUGAACUUAGCCAUUCCUGGCGACUUUCGCACGAAAACCAAACGCUUCGCAAGGCCUAUUAAAAACUACGCUUGGAUUCUCGAGUCGGAGCGAAACAAGAAAUAAAUUUUUCCAAAUAAAAUUUUUUUUUGCAAAGUGUUUUUGCCACACACGAAAUAGUAGGUAAAAUUUCAAGCAUUUUUCUAAGGCUCAGCAAUUUAAGCGUAGUUUUCCAAUGGACCAAAACUCCAAAGACUAAGACAUACAUAUAUUUCAUUUUGAAAUCGAUGUGAUGUAUUUAGUGCUUUGUAGUUAUACCAUGCACAAACCAUGCACAGACCAUGCAAAAAUCAUGCACAGACCAUGCAAAAAUCAUGCACAGACCAUGCAAAAACCAUGCACAGACCAUGCAAAAAUCAUGCACAGACCAUGCAAAAAUCAUGCACAGACCAUGCAAAAACCAUGCACAGACCAUGCAAAAACC